GAUGAAGAACGCAGCGAAAUGCGAUAAGUAGUGUGAAUGGCAGAAUUCAGUGAAUCAUCGAAUCUUUGAACGCACAUUGCGCCCCUUGGUAUCCCGAGGGGCAUGCCUGUUCGAGCGUCAUUUCACCACUCAAGCCUGGCUUGGUGUUGGGCGACGUCCCCUUUGGGGACGCGCCUCGAAACGCUCGGCGGCGUGGCACCGGCUUUAAGCGUAGCAGAAUCUUUCGCUUUGGAAGUCGGGGCCCCGUCUGCCGGAAGACCUACUCGCAAGGUUGACCUCGGAUCAGGCAGGGAUACCCGCUGAACUUAAGCAUAUCAAUAAGCGGAGGA
rnacentral:misc_RNA from 1 species